rnacentral:lncRNA from 1 species
CCGUGCUCCGCACCGCGCUGCCAGCGAGGAAGCAGAUGCAGUAGCCAAGAGUGUUUAGAAGGAGGUGUUUCCUCAAAAAAAAAAAAAACAGAGCGGCAGACGUGCCGCUCACCUGGCCCAGCCGGUCAUGGGGAAGCGGAGUCGCGACUUCAGUGAGUUACUGUGCUAAACCGGCGCGGAGGCGCGUGAGAAGCCGCAAAGGGCAGAGCGCGGCGAAUCGACCCCCUCGCCUCGCCGGGCCGGCUCUCCGCACGCCCCCGCUGCUCCACGGCCCGCCGGGCUUGCCAAAAUCGGCGGGAAUCUCAGCUGAGGAAAAUCGCUCGAGGAGCUUAUUGAGUCGCCUAUCAAGAUGGAGGACAGAAGCUGAUAGYGAGCAGAAAACAUUUUUGGAAACUUUGACGCCCAUCCCUAAAAUCAGGGAAGGAAUAAACUGCUGUUAG